CUUCCAAAGAUUGCAAAUUUUGUAUACUUUUGUAUUGCAAUUUUCGCAUGCAAUACAAAAAUAUACAAAAUUUGCAAACUUUGCAAUGCUAU